rnacentral:tRNA from 1 species
GGGUGUAAAGCUCAGUGGGAGAGCGGCUGACUGCAGAUCAGCAGGACCUCGGUUCAACUAUGGGCGCGCCCU